rnacentral:ribozyme from 1 species
UCACCGCAAUCAAACAUUGGGAAAAGGAAAAAACGCCAUAAAAUAAUGGCGCCAUAAAAAAAUGGCAAUUAAAAACGGCAACUGAAAGAUUUUAAAACCUGUUUUUACAGUAGUAUUUUUAAAGCAGUAUUUUUAAAAUCAGUUCCAAGUUUUUUCUCUUCAUUUU